rnacentral:lncRNA from 1 species
ACCUAUCUGAGGCCGGACAAUAAAACUAUAGGCAAAUAAACAGAAGUUAGAGAUCAUGACUAGUAAGCCAAGCUCCUACAACUUGCCAUGCCAAAAGAAAAGAAGAAUGACCUUGUAUGGAUUUAGGUUUUUUGCUUGACCAAGAAGCAACCUAUCUUUAAUACAAAGCAAUUCACUUGAUCUUUGAUCAAGAUGAAUUUGAUUUGGAUCAAAGAAGGUUAAGCCUCUCAUAUGUCAAGGCUAACCACCAAUCAUUAACUCAUUGGUUAAAAA